UCAUUUCUCAGCAUCUUCCGCAGUGUACUGACCUGAAAAGCAAGUCCACAUGAUUUUUUUCUCAUCUAUAUCCACUUAUUAUUAUGCUACAUUAAUGAUAGCUUCACUCGCUUUUAUUUUUCUCACUUUCUUCCAAAAGAUUAGCAUUUAGCAAACAAGGGUUGCUUUGUUCUAUUUUCUUGCCUCUGUGUUUUUAUUUUUCUUGUAUGUUAUUAUGACUAGCAGCCAAUCAGUCCGUGUAUCUAAACUUCUCCUCUGAUUUAUACCCUAAAAAACUUCUCCUCUGAUUUCUAAACAGUUGUUGCCUAAUUUGUAGAUUUGGCUUUCUUUUUGAGAGAGAGAGAGGACUGGACGGUCCAUGGCCUCUUAUUAUCUCUGCUUCAAUUAGUGUGUUUCUCCUUUAUUGAAUCAGAGUCUAUCAAGAAGUGUAUGCUUUUCAGACCAGGGUCUUUCCAAUGGAUAUUGGUUCGAUUGUUGGAAACAUAAUUCCUUUAGUAGGCAAAUAUUGGAGUUAUCACAAAGAGGCUGAUCAACACGUGAAGAAUCUGAAGAGAAAAUGGGAAUUAUUGGAAAGCCGGAAGGAUGACAUAAAAAAAAAUUGGAUUCAGAACUUCGUCAAGGAAAAAAAUCAAAGCAAGAAGUUGAAGUUUGGCUUCGAAAUGUAGAAACAAUUAAGGGUGAGAGAGACAUUGGACAAGAACCUGCCAGAUGGAUGUUCCUCUCACGUAUGCAGACGGGAGAAUUUGCUUUUAAGAAGACAAAAGAGGUGGAGGAACUUUAUCAAGUGGGUUAUUUCAUUGAUGGUUUAUUUCUUGAUCUACCUAAAC